GAGGCGGUGCCUGAAGGGGCUGGGCCAGCAGGGUUGAACUAGAAAUGAGGGUGGGGGCUGGUCGGGGCCAGCCUUGCUGACUGUGGGAGCGUCCCGCAAGGAGGCCAGGCUAGUCCUACUACCCCUCGGUGACCGCGGUGAGGUACAGGUACAGGGCCAGUCCCGGGAAAGGCUGGCCCUUUCAGAGAGGAGCUUUGCCCCUCUGACCCCGCGGAUGUCAGUGCUCUGGUGCUGCGGGGCUGGAAGAGGAACCCUAGGCUACAGGGCAUGAAAGAAGGCAACUGAAACCCCACAGAUCAGACUAAUGCUUCAGGAGGCAGGAACGAAGAGGAACUUCAGCGGGGGGCUGGAUUGCAGGCACUGUCGCUGAAGGGGAAAAGGGGUCUUGGAGCCAUUUUUCAAGACCAGGUGGUGAAUACCCAACAGUACUUGGAACAUGUGAAAGACUCCACAACAGGAAUGCAAGGUAGAGUGGUGAAGCUAUUCACCAACCAUUUCUGAGUGACCUCUCGCCCUGAACUCCUCACGUAUAAGUACAACAUUGAUUACAUGCCAGAGGUUGAAGAUGGAAAAGUUCAUACAGAUUUGCUCUGCCAGCAUAAACAUGUAAUUGGAGAGUGUCCCACAUUAGAUGGGAACUCUUUAUUACUGCCUCAUAAACUACAAAAGCAGGAAUUUUGAAGAUGAUGGAUUUGAAGCAAGUUGGUCGCAACUAUUACAACGAGAAUGAGGCCAUGAAGUUCCUCAAUCGUAAGUACACAGUGGAAAGUUUCACAUUCUACAGACCUGACGAUAGAAGC